rnacentral:rRNA from 1 species
UGUCCGUUUGGUGGUGGGGAGUAGCCGGCUACGCCCGGGUAAUACCGCAUACGGUUGCCGAGGGGAGUCCCUUGGCAAAGAAACCUCCGGGGCACAGAGAGGGGCUCGCGGCCUAUCAGCUAGUUGGUGAGGUAAUGGCUCACCAAGGCGACGACGGGUAGCUGGUCUGAGAGGAUGGCCAGCCACAUUGGGACUGAGAUACGGCCCAG